rnacentral:tRNA from 1 species
GCGAAGGUGGCGGAAUUGGUAGACGCGCUAGCUUCAGGUGUUAGUGUCUCUGAUGACGGGGGUUCAAGUCCCCUCGCACCA